rnacentral:rRNA from 1 species
AGUUCUCGUUGAUGAUCGGUGCUUGCACCGAGAUUCAACAUGGAACGAGUGGCGGACGGGUGAGUAACACGUGGGUAACCUGCCCUUAAGUGGGGGAUAACAUUUGGAAACAGAUGCUAAUACCGCAUAGAUCCAAGAACCGCAUGGUUCUUGGCUGAAAGAUGGCGUAAGCUAUCGCUUUUGGAUGGACCCGCGGCGUAUUAGCUAGUUGGUGAGGUAAUGGCUCACCAAGGCGAUGAUACGUAGCCGAACUGAGAGGUUGAUCGGCCACAUUGGGACUGAGACACGGCCCAAACUCCUACGGGAGGCAGCAGUAGGGAAUCUUCCACAAUGGACGCAAGUCUGAUGGAGCAACGCCGCGUGAGUGAAGAAGGCUUUCGGGUCGUAAAACUCUGUUGUUGGAGAAGAAUGGUCGGCAGAGUAACUGUUGUCGGCGUGACGGUAUCCAACCAGAAAGCCACGGCUAACUACGUGCCAGCAGCCGCGGUAAUACGUAGGUGGCAAGCGUUAUCCGGAUUUAUUGGGCGUAAAGCGAGCGCAGGCGGUUUUUUAAGUCUGAUGUGAAAGCCCUCGGCUUAACCGAGGAAGCGCAUCGGAAACUGGGAAACUUGAGUGCAGAAGAGGACAGUGGAACUCCAUGUGUAGCGGUGAAAUGCGUAGAUAUAUGGAAGAACACCAGUGGCGAAGGCGGCUGUCUGGUCUGUAACUGACGCUGAGGCUCGAAAGCAUGGGUAGCGAACAGGAUUAGAUACCCUGGUAGUCCAUGCCGUAAACGAUGAAUGCU